UUAACACAUGCAAGUCGAGGGGCAGCACGAGGAGUAGCAAUACGAAUUGGUGGCGACCGGCAGACGGGUGCGUAACGCGUAUACAACCUACCCUUGAAAGGGGAAUAACCCGGAGAAAUUCGGACUAAUACCCCGCUAAGUAUUUGCCUGGCAUCGGGCGGAUAUGAGAGAUUUAUCGUUCAAGGAUGGGUAUGCGUGACAUUAGGAAGUUGGUGAGGUAACGGCUCACCAAUCCGACGAUGUCUAGGGGUUCUGAGAGGAAGGUCCCCCACACUGGUACUGAGACACGGACCAGACUCCUACGGGAGGCAGCAGUGAGGAAUAUUGGUCAAUGGACGAGAGUCUGAACCAGCCAUGCCGCGUGCAGGAAGAAUGCUCUAUGAGUUGUAAACUGCUUUUAUACAAGAAUAAUAAGCUCGACGUGUCGGGUGAUGAAUGUAUUGUAUGAAUAAGGACCGGCUAACUCCGUGCCAGCAGCCGCGGUAAUACGGAGGGUCCGAGCGUUAUCCGGAUUUAUAUUCGAUGAUACGCGAGGAACCUUACCCGGGCUUGAAAGUUAGUGACCGGUGGUGAAAGCCACUUUUCCAGCAAUGGACACGAAACUAGGUGCUGCAUGGUUGUCGUCAGCUCGUGCCGUGAGGUGUCGGGUUAAGUCCCAUAACGAGCGCAACCCCUGUCGUUAGUUGCUAGCAGGUAAUGCUGAGGACUCUAACGAGACUGCCGGUGUAAACCGAGAGGAAGGUGGGGAUGACGUCAAAUCAGCACGGCCCUUACGUCCGGGGCGACACACGUGUUACAAUGGAUGGUACAAAGGGUUGCAACAUAGCGAUAUGAAGCUAAUCUCAAAAAGCCAUUCUCAGUUCGGAUCGCAGGCUGAAACUCGCCUGCGUGAAGUUGGAUUCGCUAGUAAUCGCACAUCAGCCAUGGUGCGGUGAAUACGUUCCCGGGCCUUGUACACACCGCCCGUCAAGCCAUGGAAGUUGGGGGUGCCUGAAGUACGUGUGCGUAAAAGCAGCGUCCUAGGGCAAAACCGA
rnacentral:rRNA from 1 species